GACGAACCGUGCGAACGUUGUUCGGAUUCACUGGGCUUAAAGGGCGCGUAGGCGGGUGACCAAGUCCGGGGUGAAAUCUUUCGGCCUAACCGGAAAAGUGCCUGGGAUACUGGUCGCCUCGAGGGAGGUAGGGGCAUGCGGAACUUCCGGUGGAGCGGUGAAAUGCGUAGAUAUCGGAAGGAACGCCGGUGGCGAAAGCGGCGUGCUGGACCUCUUCUGACGCUGAGGCGCGAAAGCCAGGGGAGCGAACGGG
rnacentral:rRNA from 1 species